rfam:Tropilaelaps mercedesae isolate Wuxi-XJTLT scaffold0000012381, whole genome shotgun sequence.
CGCAGAUACGGAGAUAUGGUCCCGGAUACAAUAACGGGCAAGAUCGUGGGCGGAGUGUGUUCACUGAGCGGCGUGCUCGUGAUCGCUUUGCCCGUUCCAGUCAUUGUGUCGAAC